ACUUUGAUUCUGGCUCGGGAUGAACGCUGGCGGCAUGCCUAACACAUGCAAGUCGAGCGAGAAGCUUAGGAAAGAGCCUUCGGGUGAUGGAAUAAGCGGAAAGCGGCGGACGGGUGAGUAACGCGUGGGUAACCUGCCCUAUGGAGGGGGAUAACGUUUUGAAAAGAACGCUAAUACCGCAUAAGCGCACAGUAUCGCAUGGUACAGUGUGAAAAACUCCGGUGCCAUAGGAUGGACCCGCGUCAGAUUAGCUAGUUGGUGGGGUAAAAGCCUACCAAGGCGACGAUCUGUAGCCGACCUGAGAGGGUGAUCGGCCACAUUGGGACUGAGACACGGCCCAAACUCCUACGGGAGGCAGCAGUGGGGGAUAUUGCACGAUGGGGGAAACCCUGAUGCAGCAAUGCCGCGUGAAGGAAGAAGGUUUUCGGAUUGUAAACUUCUAUCAGCAGGGAAGAAAAUGACUGUACCUGACUAAGAAGCCCCGGCUAACUACGUGCCAGCAGCCGCGGUA
rnacentral:rRNA from 1 species